AAGUCGUAACAAGGUUUCCGUAGGUGAACCUGCGGAAGGAUCAUCAUUGAGAUAACAUACUAACGGUCUGACGCAGUGCACGUUUGUCUUCUGGGAGCGGUGGAUAUCGCCUCUCUGAGUUGGCAGGCGUGUACUGUCUCAUUCCUCAUACAAAUUCAUUUUACACUGAUACAUUUUAUAAUUAAAAUUACAACUUUCAACAAUGGAUCUCUUGGCUCCC
rnacentral:misc_RNA from 1 species